GGAGGAAAGCAGGGGAUCGGAAGACCUUGUGCUUUUAGAGCGGCCGAUGCCUGAUUAGCUAGUUGGUAAGGUAAAGGCUUACCAAGGCUACGAUCAGUAGCUGGUCCGAGAGGACGACCAGCCACACUGGGACUGAGACACGGCCCAGACUCCUACGGGAGGCAGCAGUGGGGAAUUUUGGACAAUGGGCGCAAGCCUGAUCCAGCCAUGCCGCGUGAGUGAAGAAGGCCUUCGGGUUGUAAAGCUCUUUCGGUCGGGAAGAAAUAGUUAUGGCUAAUAUCCAUAAUGAAUGACGGUACCGACAUAAGAAGCACCGGCUAACUACGUGCCAGCAGCCGCGGUAAUACGUAGGGUGCAAGCGUUAAUCGGAAUUAUUGGGCGUAAAGGGUGCGCAGGCGGAUGUAUAAGUCAGAUGUGAAAUCCCCGGGCUUAACCUGGGAAUUGCGUUUA
rnacentral:rRNA from 1 species